rnacentral:rRNA from 1 species
AGUGAACGCUGGCGGUAGGCUUAACACAUGCAAGUCGAACGGCAGCACAGUAAGAGCUUGCUCUUACGGGUGGCGAGUGGCGGACGGGUGAGGAAUACAUCGGAAUCUACUUUUUCGUGGGGGAUAACGUAGGGAAACUUACGCUAAUACCGCAUACGACCUACGGGUGAAAGCAGGGGAUCUUCGGACCUUGCGCGAUUGAAUGAGCCGAUGUCGGAUUAGCUAGUUGGCGGGGUAAAGGCCCACCAAGGCGACGAUCCGUAGCUGGUCUGAGAGGAUGAUCCGCCACACUGGAACUGAGACACGGUCCAGACUCCUACGGGAGGCAGCAGUGGGGAAUAUUGGACAAUGGGCGCAAGCCUGAUCCAGCCAUACCGCGUGGGUGAAGAAGGCCUUCGGGUUGUAAAGCCCUUUUGUUGGGAAAGAAAGGCAGCAGGUUAAUACCCCGCUGUUCUGACGGUACCCAAAGAAUAAGCACCGGCUAACUUCGU